CCUACGGGUGGCAGCAGUCGAGAAUCAUUCACAAUGGGGGAAACCCUGAUGGUGCGACGCCGCGUGGGGGAAUGAAGGUCUUCGGAUGGUAAACGCCUGUCAUGUGGGAGCAAAUUAAAAAGAUAGUACCACAAGAGGAAGAGACGGCUAACUCUGUGCCAGCAGCCGCGGUAAUACAGAGGUCUCGAGCGUUGUUCGGGAUCACUGGGCGUAAAGCGUGCGUAGGCUGUUUCGUAGAUCGUGUGUGAAAGGCGCGGGCUCAACCCGCGGACGGCACAUGAUACUGCGAGACUGGAGUAAUGGAGGGGGAACCGGAAUUCCCGGUGUAGCAGUGAAAUGCGUAGAUAUCGGGAGGAACACUAGAGGCGAAGGCGGGUUCCUGGACAUAAACUGACGCUGAGGCACGAAGGCCAGGGGAGCGAAAGGGAUUAGAUACCCGGGUAGUC
rnacentral:rRNA from 1 species